rnacentral:rRNA from 1 species
CCAAGGAGCCUAACAUGUGCGCGAGUCACUCAGUCUUGAACAGGCUUGAAGGGCGAAAUGAAAGUAAUCGCGUAUGAUCCUGUAGCGUAGACGCUCGCUGCUUGCAGCUUGCUGAACGUGAGGGCGCAGUACGGACCCGCCUUUGCUGUUAUUACGACGGCUUGGCGGAGUUUGAGCGCACAUGUUGGUACCCGAAAGAUGGUGAACUAUGCCCGGGCAGGACGAAGCCAGAGGAAACUCUGGUGGAGGUCUGUAGCGAUUCUGACGUGCAAAUCGAUCGUCAGACCUGGGUAUAGGGGCGAAAGACUAAUCGAACCAUC